GCUCAUCCGCCAUUGCCGGCGGUCGCAGUGCUCGGGUCCUCCGAGCUCGCUCUUCUCCGGCGUUCUCUCCAAGCGGCGCUAUCGGUGUUCCGUCACCGCCCGGGCUGCUCGGCCGGCAGCUCCGUGCAGAGACAGCCAUCGGUGCGGCUCGCAGGAGGCAGCCGGCUCUUCGUGGCGCCGCAGGUCCUGAACACCAAAAGAGACACCUGAACCAGCUCACAAUCCCUGAAGGAUCACACAGGAACCGUGCACUUAUCACACUGAGCCCAAAGAUAAAAAGGAAAGCAAGGAGCCUCUUCACAGUCUACUCCUUGGGCAUGGUCUUGACAGCAACUCUGACAGAAGAGAUGAGUUUUCAGGCACUGCCUGAGGAAAUCCCCUUUUAGGAUGGAAAUGCUGUGAUGGAGGACAGUUCUGUCACAGAAGUGCCCAGUACCUGUCCUUGCCUGUGGCCCCAGGACGGACAGAACUGGGGAAAAGGAAAUCGCAAAGGCAAUUGACCUAAAAACACUAAAGUGAUAUUCUGUACCAUAUGACAUCAUGCUCAGGGAUAAAAACAGAGAAAGGGGUAGGAUAUGGGGCUCACAUGAUGAAAAGAAAUGUCUUGGAACACUGGGGCAUCCGGUGAAUAUUGACAGGGGACUGCUUAGUGCAUACAGUAGCUCCAGAGUAGGUUGGUGGGCCAAGGGAAGGAAGAUGAGAAGCAGAGUAAACCAGAGAGACUGAGAUCAGAGUGAAAAUGGAGACUAACAACGUGUGGGCAAUCCACAGAAAACCUGGGCUGGGAGCCUGCGGUGGGCAUGGCAGAUCAUGGCACGGCCCCUUGCAGACACACAUGGCCUAUUUGAAGGCAAAGUGAAAGGAGAAAAUAGGGACAGCAAAGAAAAAAAAAGAGUGAAUAGAAAAAAAAAACAACCAAUAAAAAAUAAGAAAACAAAUAAAAGGCAAAAUACACAAAAACUCAGUAGUGACUACAACACAGCAUAAAGGAACCAUGCCCACAAACAUGAAAGCUGAGGCCUCCUGCACCCAGCUCGACCCAAUGGGACCAGAGGGAAAC
rnacentral:lncRNA from 7 species